GAUGAACGCUAGCUACAGGCUUAACACAUGCAAGUCGAGGGGUAACGAGAGGAAAGCUUGCUUUCCUUGUCGACGGCCGGCGCACGGGUGAGUAACGCGUAUCCAACCUGCCCCCAACUAAGGAAUAACCUUGCGAAAGUAAGACUAAUACCUUAUAAUUUCCUCAGAUGUCAUCUGACGAGGAAUAAAGAUUUAUCGGUUGUGGAUGGGGAGGCGUGUGAUUAGCUUGUUGGCGGGGUAACGGCCCACCAAGGCAACGAUCAGUAGGGGUUCUGAGAGGAAGGUCCCCCACAUUGGAACUGAGACACGGUCCAAACUCCUACGGGAGGCAGCAGUGAGGAAUAUUGGUCAAUGGGCGAAAGCCUGAACCAGCCAAGUAGCGUGCAGGAUGACGGCCCUAUGGGUUGUAAACUGCUUUUAUACAGGAAUAAAGUUAGCCACGUGUGGUUAUUUGUAGGUACUGUAUGAAUAAGGACCGGCUAAUUCCGUGCCAGCAGCCGCCGUAA
rnacentral:rRNA from 1 species